CGCUGAGCAGCAGGUCAGACAGCGUGCGGGCCGCAAUGCAGCAGGCGCCUUCUAAGCGCUUGGCCGCAGGUUCGAGUCCUGCCGGGGCAC
rnacentral:tRNA from 1 species